ACGAGCCACAGGGGGACAAGGAUUGGCCUGGCAGAGCAGAGAGCUUUGGCUGGAACUCAGGGAACAGAACAGGGUGAAUGGCCUUUGGAAGACAGGGCAGGCAACCCAGCAGGACUACAAGGAUGUUGUGAGGUUAUUCAAGGAGAAAUUAGAAGGGCCAAAGCCUAGCUAGAACUUAAUCUGGCUACUGCUGUAAAAGACAAUUAAAAAUAUUUCUGUAAAUACAGCAGUAAGGAGAGCCUCCAUCCUUCAUUGGAUGCCACCCUUUAUUUCCUACCAGAACAGCCCCACAGGGUGCAGCUGCUCAGGAAUUUCUGAGUGGAGAUCCAUUUGUAACACAUGAUCCUGUGAAAAGCUGUUGGGAACCAGAAGUAGGCAGAAAAUGACACGGUGUCGUGUCCUCUGUGACAGCUUGUGACAGGCUGAUCACUGCAGUGCCACACAGCACUGGUGAGUGCAGAAAUUAUGUGCUAAGCACCACUGGAGUUCAUCAGGAGCUCUGCCAUCAGUGAACAGGGGCAGUGGCAUUUUCAGGGAUUGACUCCUGCUGCCCUCCUCUUAAAUACCUGUUCCCACAGUACACAAAGGGGUUGUUGCUGCAUCCCACGGAGUGAUUUUUAUCAGCCCACAUAUCACUCUUCAUAUUACUUGUCUAAAAGUUUCAGGUUGAGCCUGCAAACAUAGCAAGUUUUGUUUUAAUUCUGUUUAAUGCUUUAUUUCUGUUUCUGUACAUAUUUCAAGUAGAGUUUCUGAAGGAGUAAUUGUACCGUAGAGCACAAGAUUCAGCUUCAGUCUUUUUGUCAUUUUGAAAUCUUAUGGUGGAUGAUAAUUUCAUGCAGUUGUCAGCUGUAGAACCUUUCUUUAAGAGAUUUAGAUUUCUGUUGGGACCUGUUGCCAGCACUGUAAAAUAAAAGGUGACUAGCCAGGAUGUGUCUCCUGUCACCAAACAUGGCCAUGGCUCAGCCUGUACUCUCUGCACAGGUUGUGCCUUCAAGACACACCCAGCUUUUGCAGCUUUUGCUGGUUCUUUUUUUUUGUUUUUUUUCUUUUAUCUGGGGGUUUCCCUGUGGCUCAGCCCAUGCCUGUCGAUUGCUGUCCACGUGGGGUGUGAAAAUGAGCUGCUGGGGAAGAGUGCAGGGUGGUUAAAGGUGGGUGGGUGACUUGGAGACUUCUUUGAGCUACCAAAAUCCCAAUGUGCUGGAUCUCUGGGUGUGCUUCACUCUUUCAAAAAGAAAAGAAAUUCAAAAAUGUCUUUUUAAGCAGAUUGCAAGGCAACAUGGAAGCUUGUACUUCUAAAGGUUGACGGGGUUUCCUACUUCAGUGGCAUCUGUGAUGUCUUUUUUUCUGACCCCACAGUAGCUAAUUUAGUGGCCCAUUUAGGGUAAUCAUUAUACAAAUUCCUUUCUGCUACUCUCAGAAACCAGCUUUCCUGGCCUCAAUGAUAAUUGUACCAACCUUUACAGAUGUGAAUUGUUGAUCAAUUAAAAAUAAAAAAGGGGAAAAAUUCUCUUAAAUCA
rnacentral:lncRNA from 1 species